rnacentral:rRNA from 1 species
UACGUAGGGGGCAAGCGUUGUCCGGAAUUAUUGGGCGUAAAGAGCGUGUAGGCGGUCCGGUAAGUCAGCUGUGAAAGUCAAGGGCUCAACCCUUGAAUGCCGGUUGAUACUGUCGGGCUAGAGUCCGGAAGAGGCGAGUGGAAUUCCCGGUGUAGCGGUGAAAUGCGCAGAUAUCGGGAGGAACAUCAGUGGCGAAAGCGGCUUCCUGGACCAGCACCGACGUUCAGGCACGAAAGCGUGGGGAGCAAACAGG